GAUGAACGCUGGCGGCGUGCCUAAUACAUGCAAGUCGAGCGGACAGACGAGGAGCUUGCUCCUCUGACGUUAGCGGCGGACGGGUGAAUAACACGUGGAUAACCUACCUAUAAGACUGGGAUAACUUCGGGAAACCGGAGCUAAUACCGGAUAAUAUAUUGAACCGCAUGGUUCAAUAGUGAAAGACGGUUUUGCUGUCCCUUAUAGAUGGAUCCGCGCCGCAUUAGCUAGUUGGUAAGGUAACGGCUUACCAAGGCAACGAUGCGUAGCCGACCUGAGAGGGUGAUCGGCCACACUGGAACUGAGACACGGUCCAGACUCCUACGGGAGGCAGCAGUAGGGAAUCUUCCGCAAUGGGCGAAAGCUUGACGGAGCAACGCCGCGUUAGUGAUGAAGGUCUUCGGAUCGUAAAACUCUGUUAUUAGUGAAGAACAAAUGUGUAAGUAACUAUGCACGUCUUGACGGUACCUAAUCAGAAAGCCACGGCUAACUACGUG
rnacentral:rRNA from 1 species